UGAUAGUGAGCAUGGCAGCUAGUUAUGAUAUUGAUUUUGUUGCCAUCUUCAGAUAUGGGAUGCAUGAAUGAACAUUUGGGAAGACUACCAUACUGCCUUUUCCUUGCCUGGUAUAGUUGCUAUGUGAUGAGGCCAGUGUGCCAGAGAUGUCAUGUAUUGAUAUGAGAAUAGAGAUGAUGAGUUUGGCCUGGACUAGUAUGAUCAAUGAUCUAACAAACCCAAUCCUAGCACAUAGAUCCG
rnacentral:lncRNA from 1 species